GGGAUAGAAUUCCAGGAGUAGCGGUGAAAUGCGUAGAUAUCUGGAGGAAUACCAAAGGCGAAGGCAGUCCCCUGGUCCGAUACUGACACUGAGGUACGAAAGCGUGGGGAGCAAACAGGAUUAGAUACCCUGGUAGUCCACGCCCUAAACGAUGUCGAUUAGCCAUUGGAAGGACCCCUUUUCCUUUCAGUGACGUAGCUAACGCGUUAAAUCGACCGCCUGGGAAGUACGACCGCAAGGUUAAAACUCAAAGGAAUUGACGGGGACCUGAACAAGCGGUGAAUGAUGUGGAUUAAUUCGAUGCUACGCGAAGAACCUUACCUACCUUUGACAUGGCCAAAGUUCUACCGAGAGGCGGAAGUACUCGUAAGAGGAUUGGCGCACAGGUGCUGCAUGGUUGUCGUCAGUUCGUGUCGUGAGAUGUUGGGUUCAGUCCCGCAACGAACGCAACCCUUAUCUUUAAUUGCUCCUAUUUUAACAGGCACUUUAAAGAAACUGCCAAUGAUGAGUUGGAGGAAGGUGGGGAUCACGUCAAGUCCGCAUGGCCUUUAUAGGUAGGGCUUCACACGUCAUACAAUGGUUAGAACAAAGAGCUGCAAAUUCGUAAGAAGGAGCCAAUCUCACAAACCUAACCUCAGUUCGAAUUGCGGUCUGCAACUCGAGCGCAUGAAGCCGGAAUCGCUAGUAAUCGUGGAUCAGAAUGCCACGGUGAAUACGUUCUUAGGUCUU
rnacentral:rRNA from 1 species